AUCCAGCUGACGAGUCCCCAAUAGGACGAAAUGAACUUUCAGGAU
rnacentral:hammerhead_ribozyme from 1 species